rnacentral:rRNA from 1 species
GAAUUUUCCACAAUGGACGAAAGUCUGAUGGAGCAACGCCGCGUGAACGAUGAAGGCCUUCGGGUUGUAAAGUUCUGUUGUCAGGGACGAACAAGUACCGUUCGAAUAGGGCGGUACCUUGACGGUACCUGACGAGAAAGCCACGGCUAACUACGUGCCAGCAGCCGCGGUAAUACGUAGGUGGCAAGCGUUGUCCGGAUUUAUUGGGCGUAAAGCGCGCGCAGGUGGCUAUGUAAGUCUGGUGUUAAAGCCCGGGGCUCAACCCCGGUUCGCAUCGGAAACUGUGUAGCUUGAGUGCAGAAGAGGAAAGCGGUAUUCCACGUGUAGCGGUGAAAUGCGUAGAGAUGUGGAGGAACACCAGUGGCGAAGGCGGCUUUCUGGUCUGUAACUGACGCUGAGGCGCGAAAGCGUGGGGAGCAAACAG